UGGUGGGAGAGGAGAAACAGAUUUAUUCAGCUUUGUCCAGGUCUACAAUUCCCAAAAUUUCCAAGCCAUUCACAGCCGUAUUGAUGGGAUGCUCUAGUCUAGAUGAUGUGUUCAUCACACAUCUGGAAGAAUAGAAGUCGAUGUUACACUGACAAUUGGAUAUUUUUAAAGACAGCUUCCAUAGAAUAGUUAAAUGUAAUUCAUCAAGGGCGCAGUAUAAUGUACAUCUAUAGAAUGCUAUAAUCAUCUCCUCCUCCUCCUCCUCCUCCUCCUCCUCCUUCUCCUCCUCCUCUUCUUCCUCCUUCUCCUUUCAUGUCUUCUUCUUCUUCUUCUUCUUCUUCUUCUUCUUCUUCUUCUUCUUCUUCUUCUUCUUCUUCUUCUUCUUCUUCUUCUUCUUCUUCUUCCUCCUCCUCCUCCUCCUCCUCCUCCUCCUUCUUCCAUGUCUUCCUCCUCCUCCUCUUCUCAUACAUUUUAUUAUCACUUUCUUCUUCUCCUCCUCUUCCUCCUCCUCCUCCUUCCAUGUCUUCCUCCUCCCCCUCCUCCCCCACUUCCUCCUCUUCCUCCCUGGAGUGCACUACAAACAACUCACCCACUUACAAUCAAUAAUGAAUCAGUUAGGAAUCUUGGAACAGUUGAGUAAAGUUCAAGUCCUUCCCUGCCUAAUUCCUGGCCUACUGACCUCAUGCUUUCUCCAUUCCAGCUGCAGAACUUGGAAUUUUCCACCAAUUUCCCCCACCCUGGAGUCGAGGAUGGGGAGCAGUCAUCUAGCUAUCGCAAUCACUGAACAAUUAAAAAUCCUUGCAGAUCUGGAGCUGAUUAUCCCAACAUCCAGCAGUCUUUCACAGCUCUCCCUGCAUUACCACAUCCCUUUUUCACAGGCCUUUCCCCUCAUGUUCUUGGGUACGGUACAAUUUCAUGUCUUUAGGGGUGCAUAUUAACAAGGAAUGUUACUGUUCUUCGUUUCAUCUUGAAACCAAAAUUCCCCAGAAACACAAAAUAGGCUAAAAGAGAAAAGAAAAGAAAUAAUAAAGAAGUCAGC
rnacentral:lncRNA from 1 species